AUUGAACGCUGGCGGCAUGCCUUACACAUGCAAGUCGAACGGUGACAGGUCUUCGGAUGCUGACGAGUGGCGAACGGGUGAGUAAUACAUCGGAACGUGCCCGAUCGUGGGGGAUAACGAGGCGAAAGCUUUGCUAAUACCGCAUACGAUCUACGGAUGAAAGCGGGGGAUCUUCGGACCUCGCGCGGCCGGAGCGGCCGAUGGCCGAUUAGGUAGUUGGUGGGAUAAAAGCUUACCAAGCCGACGAUCUGUAGCUGGUCUGAGAGGAUGAUCAGCCACACUGGGACUGAGACACGGCCCAGACUCCUACGGGAGGCAGCAGUGGGGAAUUUUGGACAAUGGGCGAAAGCCUGAUCCAGCCAUGCCGCGUGCAGGAUGAAGGCCUUCGGGUUGUAAACUGCUUUUGUACGGAACGAAAAGCCUCUUUCUAAUAAAGAGGGGUCAUGACGGUACCGUAAGAAUAAGCACCGGCUAACUACGUG
rnacentral:rRNA from 1 species